ACAUAAGAACCAUAAAUAAAAUAGCAUGCAAUAAUAUCAGACAGUGACUACCAUAAAUAGCAUGCAAUAAUAAGGGAGACACAAUCCAAUACACAAAUCAUCUAUGGAUAGCCCUGCCAAGCCUCACCCAACACCGGGUAAGGAGUACCAAAAACUCUAGGGGCCUCUAUCCUACAACCCUGAUACUAGACCUCCAGAUUUUCCUAUCAAGGGCCAUGUCCUCAGAAACCCGCAUUCU
rnacentral:lncRNA from 1 species